rnacentral:rRNA from 1 species
ACUGCUCAGUAACACGUGGAUAACCUGCCCAAGGGUCCGGGAUAACCCCGGGAAACUGGGGAUAAUACCGGAUGGAUCACUUAUGCUGGAAUGCUUGGUGGUCGAAAGGUGACGCCCUUGGAUGGGUCUGCGGCGGAUUAGGUUGACGCCGGUGUAACGUACCGGCGUGCCUGUAAUCCGUACGGGUUGUGGGAGCAAGAGCCCGGAGAUGGAUUCUGAGACACGAAUCCAGGCCCUACGGGGCGCAGCAGGCGCGAAAACUCUACAAUGCAGGCAACUGCGAUAGGGGGACAUCGAGUGGCAUCCACCUUGGGUGCCUGUCCCACCGUCUAAAAAACGGUGGUUAGCAAGGGCCGGGCAAGACCGGUGCCAGCCGCCGCGGUAAUACCGGCGGCUCGAGUGGCGGCCGAUAUUAUUGAGUCUAAAGGGUCCGUAGCCGGCUUUGCAAGUCCCCUGGGAAAUCCAGCGGCUUAACCGUUGGGCUUUCAUGGGAUACUACAUUGCUUGGGACUGGGAGAGGUAGGAGGUACUCGGGGGGUAGGGGUGAAAUCCUGUAAUCCCCCGGGGACCACCGGUGGCGAAGGCGUCCUACCAGAACAGGUCCGACGGUGAGGGACGAAAGCUAGGGGCACGAACCGGAUUAGAUACCCGGGUAGUCCUAGCCGUAAACGAUGCCCGCUAGGUGUCACGGCGGUCGUGAAUCGCCGUGGUGCCGUAGGGAAGCCGCGAAGCGGGCCACUUGGGAAGUACGGCCGCAAGGCUGAAACUUAAAGGAAUUGGCGGGGGAGCAC